rnacentral:lncRNA from 1 species
AAGGGAAAGUCUUAUGUCAUGUCACUUAUAAAUGUAGAGAUAUCAUUUGACGUGCCAGAAUCUAGAACAUCGUUAGUUGUUUUCAAGAAAUGUCAUCUUCGCCAUUCCCUAAAUGGAUAAGUAAAAUCAAGGGACAUCAAGUAAUUGUGAAGUUCAUGUUCAUGAAGGAUGAAAAAUUUGAUGAGGAGGAUGUCUUAAAAAGGCCUCCACUAAAU